AAUUUUAAAUUUAUUUUUUUAACUUUAAAUUUUAAAUUUAUUUUUUAAAUUUUAAAUUUAAAAUUCUAAAUUCUAAAUUUCAAAUUUUAAUUUUUUAUUUUAAAAUUUUAAAUUUAAAAAUUAAAUUUAGAUUUUUAUAUUUUAAAUUUUAAAUUUUUAAAUUCCAAAUUUGAAAAUUUAAAAUUUAAAAUUCAAAAUUUCACAUUUCACAUAUCAAAUUUUAAAUUUUAAAUUUUUUUUUGAAAUUUUAAAUUUUAAAUUUUAACUUUUAAUUUUAAAAUUUAGAAAAAUCCCGUAAAAUUGCACCAUGCGUAUCCAAACAGUUUAAAAAUUGAAUCUGUGGAAUUUUUAAGAGUUGCAGGAUUCUCUAUUUUAUAUAGGCCAAAACCACAGUUUAUAAAUUCCGUAGAAAUUUUUUACUGUACAUCCAAACAGGCCCUUAUUCUAUUAAUUUAGUACUGAAGAUGAGAGAGAGAAUAUGAGUUUGGAUUUGAAUUUUAUGAAAGAUACAUAUUUUGUACACCACUUUAAUUAUAAUGAAGAUAUCCACUCCGUUUUCGCCCAUAGACGUAGGCCGGUGGCUGAACCACGUAAAUAUUAUGUGCUUUAUUUUUUCUUCUCUCAUUUUCGAUUCUCUUUUGGUAUUUUCGCAUCCGACAAACUAGAUCUUUUUGGUUUUAGUUCUAACAGUUUUCAUCUACAAAACAUUACCU
rnacentral:lncRNA from 1 species